AAUAACGUGCUUGACAAAAAGAUUGUCUUGAUAGGGCAAAUCAUGAGAAAUUUCUUUCUCCGUUAUUA
rnacentral:tRNA from 1 species